AGAGUUUGAUUAUGGCUCAGGAUGAACGCUGGCGGCGUGCCUAACACAUGCAAGUCGAGCGAUCUCUCGGAGAAGAGCGGCGGACGGGUGAGUAACGCGUGGGUAACCUGCCUCAUACACAUGGAUAACAUACCGAAAGGUAUGCUAAUACAGGAUAAUAUAAGAGAUUCACAUGGAUUUCUUAUCAAAGCUCCGGCGGUAUGAGAUGGACCCGCGUCUGAUUAGCUAGUUGGUAAGGUAACGGCUUACCAAGGCGACGAUCAGUAGCCGACCUGAGAGGGUGAUCGGCCACAUUGGAACUGAGACACGGUCCAAACUCCUACGGGAGGCAGCAGUGGGGAAUAUUGCACAAUGGGCGAAAGCCUGAUUGCAGCAACGCCGCGUGAGUGAUGAAGGCCUUCGGGUCGUAAAACUCUGUCCUCAAGGAAGAUAAUGACGGUACUUGAGGAGGAAGCCCCGGCUAACUACGUGCCAGCCGCCGC
rnacentral:rRNA from 1 species